UACAGAGGGUGCGAGCGUUAAUCGGAAUUACUGGGCGUAAAGGGCGCGUAGGUGGAAGACUAAGUCGGAUGUGAAAUCCCCGGGCUUAACCUGGGAAUGGCAUACGAUACUGGUCAUCUAGAGUUGGUUAGAGGGAAGUGGAAUUUCCGGUGUAGCGGUGAAAUGCGUAGAUAUCGGAAGGAACACCAGUGGCGAAGGCGGCUUCCUGGAUCCAAACUGACACUGAGGCGCG
rnacentral:rRNA from 1 species